CUAGAAUUACAGGAAUCGAACCUACUCCUAAGACUUCAAAAAUCUCCGUGCUACCAAGUUACACCACAUUCUA
rnacentral:tRNA from 1 species